UAAAGCGAAUAAGGGCGCAUGGUGGAUGCCUAGGAUCUAAGAGGCGAAGAAGGACGUGG
rnacentral:rRNA from 1 species